rnacentral:rRNA from 1 species
GAUGAACGCUAGCGGCAGGCUUAAUACAUGCAAGUCGUGGGGCAGCAGUCCCGCAGCAAUGCGGGAGCUGGCGACCGGCAAACGGGUGUGGAACACGUACACAACCUUCCUUCAAGUGGGGAAUAGCCCAGGGAAACUUGGAUUAAUACCCCGUAAUAUUAUAGAGUGGCAUCACUUUGUAAUUAAAGCUCCGGCGCUUGAUGAUGGGUGUGCGCCUGAUUAGGUAGUUGGCGGGGUAACGGCCCACCAAGCCUUCGAUCAGUAACUGGUGUGAGAGCACGACCAGUCACACGGGCACUGAGACACGGGCCCGACUCCUACGGGAGGCAGCAGUAAGGAAUAUUGGUCAAUGGACGCAAGUCUGAACCAGCCAUGCCGCGUGGAGGAUGAAGGUCCUCUGGAUUGUAAACUUCUUUUAUCUGGGAAGAAAUCCAUCUUUUCUAAGGUGGUUGACGGUACCAGAUGAAUAAGCACCGGCUAACUCCGUGCCAGCAGCCGCCGUAACAC